rfam:Desulfitobacterium metallireducens DSM 15288, complete genome.
GGUCAAGCUACUAAGGGCGUACGGUGGAUGCCUAGGCGCUAAGAGUCGAAGAAGGGCGCGGUUAACAGCGAAAUGCCACGGGGAGCAGUAAGCAUGCAUUGAUCCGUGGAUACCCGAAUGGGGCAACCCCAUUGGAGUUAUAUCCAAUGAUCUUUAACUGAAUAGAUAGGUUAAAGAGGACAACCCGGGGAACUGAAACAUCUAAGUACCCGGAGGAAGAGAAAGAAUAAUCGAUUCCCUGAGUAGCGGCGAGCGAAACGGGAAGAGCCCAAACCAAGCUCUUCGGAGCUUGGGGUUGUAGGACCCUCUAUUAAGCAUUAAUUCUUAGCUGAAGAAAUCUGGAAAGAUUCAGCAAAGAAGGUAACACUCCUGUAAGCGAAAAGAAGAAAUGCUGUGAGGGUAUCCUGAGUACCGCGGGACACGAGAAACCCCGUGGGAAACCGGGAGGACCACCUCCCAAGGCUAAAUACUCCUUAGCGACCGAUAGUGAACCAGUACCGUGAGGGAAAGGUGAAAAGCACCCCGGGAGGGGAGUGAAAAAGAACCUGAAACCGUACGCUUACAAGCAGUCAAAGCACCCUUGAGGUGUGAUGGCGUGCCUUUUGUAGAAUGAACCGGCGAGUUACGGUAUGUAGCGAGGUUAAAGCGAGAAGCUGGAGCCGAAGCGAAAGCGAGUCUGAAAAGGGCGACAAGUUACAUGCUGUAGACCCGAAACCGUGUGAUCUACCCAUGGUCAGGGUGAAGGUGGGGUAAAACCUACUGGAGGCCCGAACUCACUGUCGUUGAAAAGGCAAGGGAUGAACUGUGGGUAGGGGUGAAAUGCCAAUCGAACACGGAGAUAGCUGGUUCUCCCCGAAAUAGCUUUAGGGCUAGCCUCAAUUGAUGAUUCUUGGCGGUAAAGCACUGAAUAGGCUAGGGGCCUUACCGGGUUACCGAACCUUAUCAAACUCUGAAUGCCAAGAAUUUAGAUUGGGAGUCAGACUGUGGGGGAUAAGCUUCAUAGUCAAAAGGGAAACAGCCCAGACCAUCAGCUAAGGUCCCAAAGUAUACGCUAAGUGGAAAAGGAUGUGGAAUUGCACAGACAACCAGGAUGUUGGCUCAGAAGCAGCCACCAUUUAAAGAGUGCGUAAUAGCUCACUGGUCGAGUGGUUCUGCGCCGAAAAUGUAACGGGGCUCAAGCGUAUCACCGAAGCUAUGGCUUUACAGUUUACUGUAAGGGGUAGGGGAGCGUUCCAAGGUCAGCGAAGUUCAACUGGAAGGUUGGGUGGAGAGCUUGGAAGUGAGAAUGCCGGUAUGAGUAUGCGAAAAGGUGAGUGAGAAUCUCACCCGCCGAAAAUCUAAGGUUUCCUGGGGAAGGCUCGUCCGCCCAGGGUCAGUCGGGACCUAAGCCGAGGCCGAAAGGCGUAGGUGAUGGACAACUGGUGGAUAUUCCAGUACCUCUCUUAAACGUUAUUAGCGAUGGGGUGACACAGAAGGAUAGGUUAAGCGUGCCGUUGGUUGAGCACGCCCAAGCCCGUAGGGUGUGAGGCAGGUAAAUCCGUCUUACGCGUUGCCUGAAAGGUAAUGGGGAGCGAAAAUAAGUAGCGAAGUAACCGACUCCAAGCUGUCAAGAAAAGCCUCUAGUGAGUGAGAGAGAGCCCGUACCGCAAACCGACACAGGUAGAUAAGGAGAGAAUCCUAAGGCGCGCGAGAAAACCCUCGUUAAGGAACUCGGCAAAAUAGCCCCGUAACUUCGGGAGAAGGGGCGCUCUUCGCAAGAAGAGCCGCAGAGAAAUGGUCCAGGCGACUGUUUAACAAAAACACAGGUUCCUGCCAAUCUAGAAAAGAGAAGUAUAGGAGCUGACGCCUGCCCGGUGCUGGAAGGUUAAGAGGAGAGGUUAGCCGCAAGGCGAAGCUUUGAAUUGAAGCCCCAGUAAACGGCGGCCGUAACUAUAACGGUCCUAAGGUAGCGAAAUUCCUUGUCAGGUAAGUUCUGACCCGCACGAAAGGCGUAACGAUCUGGACACUGUCUCAACGAGGGACUCGGCGAAAUUGUAAUACCCGUGAAGAUGCGGGUUACCUGCGACAGGACAGAAAGACCCCAUGGAGCUUUACUGUAGCUUGACAUUGGAUUUUGGUAUAAAAUGUACAGGAUAGGUGGGAGACUAAGAAGCUAGGGCGCCAGCCUUGGUUGAGUCGCCGGUGGGAUACCACUCUUUUUGUACUGAAAUUCUAACUUAGACCCCUGAAUCGGGGUUGAGGACCGUGUCAGGUGGGCAGUUUGACUGGGGCGGUCGCCUCCUAAAGAGUAACGGAGGCGCCCAAAGGUUCCCUCAGCGCGGAUGGAAAUCGCGCGAAGAGUGUAAAGGCAAAAGGGAGCUUGACUGCGAGACCAACAAGUCGAGCAGGGACGAAAGUCGGGCUUAGUGAUCCGGUGGUACCGAGUGGAAGGGCCAUCGCUCAACGGAUAAAAGCUACCCUGGGGAUAACAGGCUUAUCUCCCCCAAGAGUCCAUAUCGACGGGGAGGUUUGGCACCUCGAUGUCGGCUCAUCGCAUCCUGGAGCUGUAGUAGGUCCCAAGGGUUGGGCUGUUCGCCCAUUAAAGCGGUACGUGAGCUGGGUUCAGAACGUCGUGAGACAGUUCGGUCCCUAUCCGUCGCAGGCGCAGGAAAUUUGAGGGGAGCUGACCCUAGUACGAGAGGACCGGGUUGGACGGAUCACUGGUGUACCAGUUGUCUCGCCAGAGGCAUAGCUGGGUAGCUAUAUCCGGAUCGGAUAAGCGCUGAAAGCAUCUAAGCGCGAAACCGACCUCAAGAUGAGAUUUCCCACAGCACAAGCUGGUAAGACCCCUGAAAGAUGAUCAGGUAGAUAGGCCCAAUGUGGAAGCGCGGUGACGUGUGGAGCUGACGGGUACUAAUCGGUCGAGGGCUUGACCUA